AGUGAACGCUGGCGGUAGGCCUAACACAUGCAAGUCGAACGGCAGCACAGUAAGAGCUUGCUCUUACGGGUGGCGAGUGGCGGACGGGUGAGGAAUACAUCGGAAUCUACUUUUUCGUGGGGGAUAACGUAGGGAAACUUACGCUAAUACCGCAUACGACCUACGGGUGAAAGCAGGGGAUCUUCGGACCUUGCGCGAUUGAAUGAGCCGAUGUCGGAUUAGCUAGUUGGCGGGGUAAAGGCCCACCAAGGCGACGAUCCGUAGCUGGUCUGAGAGGAUGAUCAGCCAAAAUGGAAAUGAGAAACGGGCCAGACUCCUAAGGGAGGCAGCAGUGGGGAAUAAUGGACAAUGGGCGCAAGCCUGAUCCAGGCAUACCGCGUGGGGGAAGAAGGCCUUCGGGUUGUAAAGCCCUUUUGGUGGGAAAGAAAAGCAGCAGGUUAAUAACCCGCUGUUCUGACGGUACCCAAAGAAUAAGCACCGGCUAACUUCGUG
rnacentral:rRNA from 1 species